rnacentral:rRNA from 1 species
AUUGAACGCUGGCGGCAUGCCUUACACAUGCAAGUCGAACGAUGAACCCGGAGCUUGCUCCGGUGGAUUAGUGGCGAACGGGUGAGUAACACGUGAGUAACCUGCCCUUGACUCUGGGAUAACUGCGGGAAACUGUAGCUAAUACCGGAUACGACCCUCGGCGGCAUCGCCAGGGGGUGGAAAGAAUUUCGGUCAAGGAUGGACUCGCGGCCUAUCAGCUAGUUGGUGAGGUAACGGCUCACCAAGGCGACGACGGGUAGCCGGCCUGAGAGGGUGACCGGCCACACUGGGACUGAGACACGGCCCAGACUCCUACGGGAGGCAGCAGUGGGGAAUAUUGCACAAUGGGCGCAAGCCUGAUGCAACAACGCCGCGUGAGGGAUGACGGCCUUCGGGUUGUAAACCUCUUUUAGUAGGGAAGAAGCGAAAGUGACGGUACCUGCAGAAAAAGCACCGGCUAACUACGUGCCAGCCGCCGCCGUAA